UGUGAACUCGAAGAGUAGGGCGGGACACGUGGUAUCCUGUCUGAAUAUGGGGGGACCAUCCUCCAAGGCUAAAUACUCCUGACUGACCGAUAGUGAACCAGUACCGUGAGGGAAAGGCGAAAAGAACCCCGGCGAGGGGAGUGAAAAAGAACCUGAAACCGUGUACGUACAAGCAGUGGGAGCACCUUCGGGUGUGACUGCGUACCUUUUGUAUAAUGGGUCAGCGACUUAUAUUCUGUAGCAAGGUUAACCGUAUAGGGGAGCCGCAGGGAAACCGAGUCUUAACUGGGCGUUAAGUUGCAGGGUAUAGACCCGAAACCCGGUGAUCUAGCCAUGGGCAGGUUGAAGGUUGGGUAACACUAACUGGAGGACCGAACCGACUAAUGUUGAAAAAUUAGCGGAUGACUUGUGGCUGGGGGUGAAAGGCCAAUCAAACCGGGAGAUAGCUGGUUCUCCCCGAAAGCUAUUUAGGUAGCGCCUCGUGAAUUCAUCUUCGGGGGUAGAGCACUGUUUCGGCUAGGGGGUCAUCCCGACUUACCAACCCGAUGCAAACUACGAAUACCGAAGAAUGUUAUCACGGGAGACACACGGCGGGUGCUAACGUCCGUCGUGAAGAGGGAAACAACCCAGACCGCCAGCUAAGGUCCCAAAGUCACAGUUAAGUGGGAAACGAUGUGGGAAGGCACAGACAGCCAGGAUGUUGGCUUAGAAGCAGCCAUCAUUUAAAGAAAGCGUAAUAGCUCACUGGUCGAGUCGGCCUGCGCGGAAGAUGUAACGGGGCUAAACUGUGCACCGAAGCUGCGGCAGCGACACU
rnacentral:rRNA from 1 species